AACGUACGCUGGCGGCACGCCUAACACAUGCAAGUCGAACGAAGUAGCAAUACUUAGUGGCAGACGGGUGAGUAACAUGUAGGUAUCUGCCCUUUGGCCUGGAAUAACACGAGGAAACUUGUGCUAAUACCGGAUAAGUCUUUACGGAGAAAGCUUUAUGCACCAAUGGAUGAGCCUGCACUUGAUUAGUUUGUUGGUGGGGUAAUGGCCUACCAAGACUGUGAUCAAUAGCUGAUUUGAGAGGAUGAUCAGCCACAUUGGGACUGAGACACGGCCCAAACUCCUACGGGAGGCAGCAGUGGGGAAUCUUGCACAAUGGAGGAAACUCUGAUGCAGCGAUGCCGCGUGAGUGAAGAAGGCCCUUGGGUUGUAAAGCUCUUUCGUCGGGGAAGAAAAUGACUGUACCCGAAUAAGAAGGUCCGGCUAACUUCGUGCCAGCAGCCGCGGUAAUACGAAGGGACCUAGCGUAGUUCGGAAUUACUGGGCUUAAAGAGUUCGUAGGUGGUUGAAAAAGUUAGUGGUGAAAUCCCAGAGCUUAACUCUGGAACUGCCAUUAAAACUUUUCAGCUAGAGUAUGAUAGAGGAAAGCAGAAUUUCUAGUGUAGAGGUGAAAUUCGUAGAUAUUAGAAAGAAUACCAAUUGCGAAGGCAGCUUUCUGGAUCAUUACUGACACUGAGGAACGAAAGCAUGGGUAGCGAAGAGGAUUAGAUACCCUCGUAGUCCAUGCCGUAAACGAUGUGUGUUAGACGUUGGAAAUUUAUUUUCAGUGUCGCAGGGAAACCGAUAAACACACCGCCUGGGGAGUACGACCGCAAGGUUAAAACUCAAAUGAAUUGACGGGGACCCGCACAAGUAGUGGAGCAUGUGGUUUAAUUCGAAGAUACGCGCAGAACCUUACCAACACUUGACAUGUUCGUCGCGACUCUAAGAGAUUAGAGUUUUCGGUUCGGCCGGACGAAACACAGGUGCUGCAUGGCUGUCGUCAGCUCGUGUCGUGAGAUGUUGGGUUAAGUCCCGCAACGAGCGCAACCCUCACUUUUAGUUGCCAUCAUUAAGUUGGGCACUCUGAAAGAACUGCCAGUGAUAAGCUGGAGGAAGGUGGGGAUGACGUCAAGUCCUCAUGGCCCUUACGUGUUGGGCUACACACGUGCUACAAUGGUAUCUACAACAGGAAGCAAGACUGCGAAGUUAAGCAAAUCCCUAAAAGAUACCUCAGUUCGGAUUGCACUCUGCAACUCGAGUGCAUGAAGCUGGAAUUACUAGUAAUCGUGGAUCAGCGUGCCACGGUGAAUGCGUUCCCGGGUCU
rnacentral:rRNA from 1 species